GACGAACGCUGGCGGCGUGCUUAACACAUGCAAGUCGGACGAAGUGGCGGACGGGUGAGUAACGCGUACUCAACCUGCCCUUCAGAGGGGGACAACAGUUGCAAAUGACUGCUAAUACCGCAUACUGAAGGCGGGGAUUGCGUCUGAUUAUCUAUUUGGUGGGGUAACGGCCCACCAAGGCGAUGAUAAGUAGCCGGGCUGAGAGGGUGAACGGCCACAUUGGGGCUGAGACACGGCCCAGACUCCUACGGGAGGCAGCAGUUGGGAAUCUUCCGCAAUGGACGGAAGCCUGACGGAGCAACGCCGCGUGAGUGAUUACGGCCUUCGGGUUGUAAAGCUCUGUUAAUCGGGACGCGGUACCGAAAUAGAAAGCCACGGCUAACUACGUGCCAGCAGCCGCGGUAAUAC
rnacentral:rRNA from 1 species